rnacentral:tRNA from 1 species
AUUAUAUUGGAUUUAGUUUUACUACCAAAUAUGGUAGUCCUCCCGUCCAUGACCUUGUGACGUCAGGUACAUACGGGACUUCGGGGGAGUUUUUGGCGGGAAAAUUUGUAAGGUUUGGAGAAGACAAGAUGGCGCUGGUUACUUCGUGUCAUCAAAGGGCAUUUUUGUUCACAAAUACCCUCUUAUUUUACGUUGUAGCGACUGGUUAGUUUUUGAAAUUAUAACUCAAUGGACAGGGAAAACAAUUCUGUAGUAAAGAGAAAAAGACGUGCAGUUAUUGUGAUGUUAUUUGUUGUGAAAGACGGCCCGAAAUUUCGCUACAUCGCUGAGCGCCUGAGCCUGUACUGGUUUAUAAAAAAAUUACAAGCAACAGCAAUUGAACUAUAUGACGAAAAAACCAAAUACAAAUGUGUACAAGCCAAUCAAGUCCAACGUAUUGUCAUUUUUGGAUGUGUGAAAUAAGUUCAGUUGGAUUUGCAGAUGAAGCACAUGGAAGGUCAGUUUUAAUUAGUUUUAUAUUAACUAUUUAAAGCACUAUUAUACAAGAAUGAUUUGAAAAUUUUCAUUCAAUGGUUGCUUUUUAUUGGGCGAAAGUUUAAUAUUGUUUUGACGAGAGAAAUGUUUCUCAACAAUUUUCAGAAUGUUUAGAAUAUUUUUGGGCUUGGUUUGAAAACGAAACGGGCGAAACGACUUGGGGGCGAAAGAAACGACUUUGGCGUAAAAAGGGCCAUUCCAUUUAAUGUACCCCCCCCCCCCCCUGUGGACGAAGUCAAUAAAAUUUGAACCCCUAAGAAAAAAAGAUCAAAGUGCCGACACAAACACCCCUUCAGAAAUUAAGAAAUUUUUGCCUUACCCUCGGAAAAAACGCAAAGAUCAAAGGAUGCCGAUGCACACAACCCCUCAGAAACGGCUUUUUCAACCCCCCUCGGAAAUUUUCGUCCACAGGGGUGGUGUAUAUUAAAUGGAAUGGCCCAAAAAAUACCUGUGGUUCUGGUUCCCGACCGACCCUAUUUUUUUCUGUCAACCCUAUUAUUUUUUCAACGCAAUUUACCGUGCAACUUUAUUUUCUCCAGGUUGUUGUGGACUGCUGCCAAAAAUGGCGUCUGUUGUCACACUAAUUAUUGAAAAAACCAUGAAAAAAAUAUUCCAAAAAAAAAUUAUUUCCGACCUACCGACCCAAAUUUUUCGUGAUAUGAAACCGGAACUACAGGGUUUUUUUACGCCUUGAGGGCGAAAUGACCGGAUACCAAUCUUCUAAACAUUCUAACUCUGAAUUUUUUCUAACUCUGUGCAGGGUUCCAAAUGGCAUUUUGCUUGUGCCUGGGGUUCAGUAUUAAGAAAAUUAAUAGCCCAAUUUUCAAGUUUUCAAGUACCUCCCCUAAAACUUUUUUGCGAGAGACUUAUAAGGUUAGCGAUAUAUAGGUUAAUGAUACAUGUUUUGAUAUGUAUUUAGUAAUAUAUGGCUGUGCCACUGUAAAGUAUAGUUCAUUUUACAGGUUUGAUACCAGUACUGAUGGAAAUUGGCAUGACUGUGCUAUAAAAACGUUAUAACUAGUGACAAUUGCAAUACAAUUACAAUACACACAAUUUUAGCAUUUCUGGUUUUGGUAAUAUCUUUAUAAAAUUGCCGUUCUAAGUUCUUUUGAAAAUCGAUACUAGACAAUUUGCAUGUUAGCAAAGCAUCUGGAAAAGUCGGUGACCAUAAAUACUGUGACAUUAUAAAGUUACGGUUUUUAAAGGUCAAGUGCAGCUUAGAGAUGAGUGUGAUAUACUUUUACAAUUCAUGUAUAGAGUCUAUAUAUAGACGUUGGUUUAUUUUAAACUCUAGUUUUAGUACCAAAACUAAAAACAAGACCAUUCCUAUGCCCACAUUAUUAGAAACAACAGCUUUAAAAACAACACCGAAGAAUCCAAUUUAGUUGAUGACUAUCUCUUAAAAAUUACAAUGUAUUAUUGUAUGCCAAACAUGAAUCACAAUUCGUCAUUGCGUUAUUUGCGUAAAUAAUCAUUGCCUCAAUAAAUGAGUGAUAAGCGUAAUAACCAAUAUUCAGUACAUUGUACUAUUGGUAGCUGUACUGAACACAAGGAAUAUAAUGUAUUUCUUGCCUUUGUUCUGUUUUAAUACACCAGUGUUAUUGCGACAGAUUUGCGCAAAUGUAAUUUGAUAUCACGCAUGCAUUGUAAUUAUAUAAAUGCAAACUGCCUAGUUUUCUGGGCGUGAGAAGGUGAAGAAGACUGGGAACGUCCUAGUUUUUUGUCCGCAGGGGUCUGAGAACGUCCUAGAAUUACCUUAUUUGGAAAAAACUAGGCUGUUGUCGUCAAAAACUAGGACGUUCCCAGACUCCAAAAUACCAAUCGUGCGUAAUGACCUUGUUUUAAUCUGAAUCUAGACAUGUUGACAGAAUAAAAACAUUCCUAAAACAGAGAUUAUUAAUAUAAUAAGGAAACAGCUUUACAUACGGUAUUAAAAUAGCCGAAUAUUUCAAAAUUAAGCCCGAUAAUGUAGAAUACACGUACACAACACAAACUGACAACCGAUUUUGUGACCUAUAUCAGGGCGUCCUAGUUUACGCUUUCUGGUUGCCUAGUUUUUNNNNNNNNNNNNNNNNNNNNCUUUAGAGCAAAAGAACCAAUCACAAUCAACUGCUCAACAGCCUGACCCAGGGCCACUGUGAGGGCCGCCCGAGCUUGGGCCUGGGGACGAGGAUGGCUGUUGUCGUCAAAAACUAGGACGUUCCCAGACUCCAAAAUACCAAUCGUGCGUAAUGACCUUGUUUUAAUCUGAAUCUAGACAUGUUGACAGAAUAAAAACAUUCCUAAAACAGAGAUUAUUAAUAUAAUAAGGAAACAGCUUUACAUACGGUAUUAAAAUAGCCGAAUAUUUCAAAAUUAAGCCCGAUAAUGUAGAAUACACGUACACAACACAAACUGACAACCGAUUUUGUGACCUAUAUCAGGGCGUCCUAGUUUACGCUUUCUGGUUGCCUAGUUUUUCAAUUUUUACCAUUUCCCUAAAAUUGGAAAAUUUAUGAGAUUGGGUUCCCAGGCACAACUGGCCUCAUUUGGAACCUUGCUCUGUGCUCAGCCUAGAUCUUGAUUUUUGCCUGUGGUCCCCCUCUGCAUUUGAUCCAAAUUUUUCAAAACUGUUUUUUAUCAAUUGAAUGUGAUUAUUUUGAUGAGAGAACAUUUCUUGUGCUGCCCCAGGGUGUAUUUUAAGUUGCUGAAGAUCUAUGGCAUUAGUUUGGCAAAUUACAAUACUAUUUAUAGUUAAAUUAAUAUUUAAAACAAUUAUUCCCCUAAGGCGAAGUGAUUACCUGUGAAUAUUAUACCUCAAAUUCAAAUUGCCCAAUGAAAAAACAUUUGUACCAUGUGACAAUGUGAUUUUUUACGGUAUUUCACUCAAAUUCAUGAUUUUGCAAUGCAGCGUGAGAUACUAUAAUAUUCCAUGGUAGAUCCACCGUGGGAUAUUAUAGUAUCUCGUGUGUGAUGUGUGGACACCACGCUCUGAAACAGUAUGGCAUUCGCAAGUUGUUGUUGCUAAAAUAUUUCGUAAAGAAGAUUUAAUUAACCAAAGAUUUUCAAGACGUAUGUUACCUUCAAUGAUCCAAAGGAUACAUGCUCAAAUAUUUCAAAGAGAAAACGUCAAGGUAUACAUGGGAAAUUAAGAAUUGUAUUCGCUUUGUUAAAAGUCUGCAAGUUUUAAAGUUUAUUCUGAAUUUAGACUUUAGUGGGUUGUUCCAUUGUGCUACUGGCAUGAAUUUCUAGAUAUGGUAACCUUCUACAAAUUAACGCAUGGCAUCAUGACCAUUGACAGUAAUUUAAUACAGUCGUCACCCAAUAACAACAGAAGACAAACCAGGUUGUCUAAUCCCAAUCAUCUGUCAAUCACAACGGCACAAUGCAAGACCACUACCUACCAAAGGUCAUUUCUCAACCGAACAAAGAGACUAUGGAACGCACUACCAAAAAGUUUGACAAGCAAUAACAUUAGUUUAGGACAAUUCAAAAACGGACUUUCAAAAUAUUACAAGUUAGCGUUGGAAGACGUUUUUAACGUUGAUGAUCCAAGGACAUGGAAAUCUAUAUGUUUGUCUUGUAACAAGUCUUGUAAUCUGUCCUGUCAAAUAUCGUGUUGUUAUUAGAUUUAUGUUCGUUGUAUAUUGUUGUAUAGUAUUAGCAUAGUUAAUGGGGCUGCUGUAAUUGGUGAAAACUGUUGCGUGCACCCUGCCAGUGAAACACAUAUUAUAUGUUGUUGUAAAUCAGUGCUGUUAAAUGUUGCAUGUUACUUGGCAAAGUUAAAUAAAUAAAUAAUUUAACUUUCGGUAUAAUAUAUUGUUUAUAGACCCUCUGGUCGGGGGAUUUAGAGAAAUAUUACCCUCAGUGAUAAUAUUUCCUUCGGGGCGAAGCCCCUUGGGAAAUAUCACUAUGGAUAAUAUUCCACCGAAUCGCCCUCGCUCCGGGUCUAUAAAUGAUAAAUAUUCACCAAGACACUGAGCCUGAGGCUAAUAAUUGUUUUAGUAUAAAUUUUUAAUGAAUAAAACAAAAUAUCCAAAUAUCAGUUCAAUUAAAAUUCAGAAAUAAAACUUUUUCGGCCUAUUUACGGUUACUGUCACUAAAGCCGGUUUUCCACUUCAAGCGUACAGGGCUGCAAAUUACUGUCGGACAUCGGACAAUGUCCGACUAAAUUUGGCAAAUGUCCCACUAAAUUUGGCAAAUGUCCGAGCAAAAGUAUUGUUGAUCGGACAUUGGUCAGAUCACAAAAAAAUUGUCACAUACAUUUUUUGCUGUGACGAAAUCUGAUUGCAAAUUCACUGAAUUUGCAUUUUGCAAUAAAAUUUACGAGGCAUUCUAGCAUUUUACUUAAAAUUAACGUUGCGCCGUAAUGGCUAUGCAUACUUGUCUCCUGAUAUAUAUAUAUAUAUAUAUAUAUGUUAAGAUGAAAAUGUUCUAGAGUGUGUAUUAUAUAAUUUCCAUACCCAGCGCAAGCAGAAAGAUGCUGUCUGCCGCGGCUGGGUCUCGAACCCAUGCAUAUGCUUUCAAAAUGGCUUCUUAAUACGACAUUUUGUGCUUCUUCUGUUUUCUGGGGACGAUUUUUGCAAUAUUUUGAAAACAAAUUUGCCGAAUUAUUUUUGAAAAGCAUUAUUUACUAGUCUGCUAGUAAAUAAUGCGUCAAAUUUACUAGUCAACUAGCCAAUCAGAAUGUGCGAAAGCUCAUUUUAUAUGCAAAAUUUAUACUAAUGGCGUAUAGUUUUACAUGGAAUGCACCCUGGGUGCUGCCCCCUAUGCCCCCUCAGCCUAGAGCUGCUGUGGUCCCUUUGCAUUUUAUUAUAAAAAAAUUUAAAACAUGUUUUUAUUGACUGGAAGUAAUUGUUUUGAUGAGAGAAAUGUUUCUUGACAAUUUUCAGAAAGUUUGUAAGAUUUUGGGGCAUUUGUUGAAUUUUGGAAAAAUUUCCCUUGGGUUUCAUGUGCCCAACCCCCCCCCCCUCCCCCCCUCACUUUACCCAAAAAAUUUAAAACAUUUUUAUUGGUUGAAACUAAUUGUUUUGGUGAUGAGAGAAAUGUUUUUUUUGACAAUUUCCAGAACAUUUUGAAGAUUUUGAGGCACUUUCCUGUGGCCCCCACUAUGCUGAGCCUAGGGUUGCCCGUAAUAGGUUAUCCUGUGGCACAGAAAUUAUAAAUUCUGAAUAAUAUUUUUGUAUACCAAUAAGAUUUAAAUUUCCUUAGGGAAUUAUUGUCAUAGCAAUUAUACAUUUGGGAAAAUAAUUUUGUUUGCUGCAUUCAAUAUAUUGACCAAUCAGGGAGAUGCUUUUGUAAAUACCCACAACCAAUCAGAAGUCUGUAUUUUUAUGCUAAAAGAGAAAUAGCAUUCCAGAGUAAAUUAUAUUGAAAUUUAUAUUUUUAAAUUUAGGGUGUGUUGUAGCUCUAUAUUUCGCCGUCCUGCUGUAGUUUACUCAAAGUCCUCGCCUGUUUGUGAAAAGAAGUACUUUAAUUUAAUUAAAGAUCAAGAUAUGGCACUUAAAUACAGCAAAGAAGCAUAACAUCCGAAGCUAAAGACAUGAUUAAGGUAUGUUCUGCUUCUAUCAAUUUGAUGUGAAAUGUUGAUAUUUUAGCUUUUCUUGCAACUUGCAAAACGGCCGUAAAACGGCCCCAAAAACUCAAUCCUGAAUUGAGUUUUGAAACUCAAGUGCAGUAAAAAUGAAGUUGUUUGAGUUAAAUUUGUGACGUGUGGAAAUUAAUUUUCAGUUGGAAACAAGAAAAACUAUGCAUUCGCCAUCUUUAACCAGUUUAUAGUGUUCCUUAGUGCCCCUGCGUCUCGACUACAUUUUGAGAGGGGGGGGGGGGGGGGGUUCAGCCACCAACGUUCAGCUAAACUCAAUCUUCUGCAAAAUGACCCAAGAGAAAAUCCUGAAUAAACCCCCCCCCCCCCCUUCUAGCUUUGUAUCUUUAUUUAGAGAAACAAAAAUUCUAGCUCUUUAUUUAGAGAAACAAAAAUAGAUAAUGGGGACCAAUAGACAAUUCCCAUUAUAGACUAAUUUUUUAUCUUAGCAAAAAAGUAUAUUCCCAGGAAGGGUAUACUAAAAUUAAUAAAAUUGCAAAGUUUGGCUGCAACAUGUUGUAAAAUGUAGAAAAUAUAGCCUUCCAAAGUUUGCAAAUUUUGUAUACUUUUGCAUUGCAAUUAUCGCAUGCAAUACAAAAGUAUACAAAGUUUGCAAACUUUGCAAUAGCCAUUAAUAUAGCCAUAUUUUCUGUAGCUAUGGUGAUUUAUUUGCAUCAAGGCCGGAUUUUGAGGGGAGGUGUGUGGAAAGAUGCGCACCUCCCCUGAGAACUUUUGCACCUCCUGAAGGUCAUGCACCUCCCCUUGGGAAAGUUUCAAUGAUGGAACAAAGUGAAAAUGUGAUGGUUGCUUAGGAUCUACACUUCGUGACGUAAGAAAGGUUUCUCUGUAAAAUUGAAACAGUGAUAGCCAUUCAUCUCUGUGUCAAGUACCCUUUUAAUGCAAUGUUUUGAAAGAAACUUGGUAGCAAUUGUAAUGAAGGGUGAGAUUGGAGUCAUACAGUCAUAAUUCAUUAAUACACUGGUACAUAUGUACACUCAUGCAUACCUCACCUCGUUGAUAUUGGCCUGUUGUACAAUAAGCCCUAACUUUCCAUGUGGAUUGUGAGCUAGACCGUUGCACCUCCCCUAAAAAAUUUUUUCCACCUCCACUAUUUUCACCAAAAUCCGGCCUUGAUUUGCAUCUCUUUGCCUGGUUCUAAAAUUAGUCUAUAAUGGGAAUUGUCUAUUUACAUGAACAUAAGAGACUUUUUGUUUGGCUUCCAUUUAUGAAUAUUAAGGUCUAUAAACAUUGUUAUUUGUUGUUAAGUUGUUUUGUUACAUUUUUAAAACUACUGUUUUUUCAAACUGGUAAAUCUUUUCAAAGCCCCCCUUCUUUCGUCUCUCUGUAAUUUUUGAAAGCCUCCCUUUCAGUAUUUCACAUUUCACGCCAACAAAUAUCAAAUUGACCAUUCACGGCACACGAAAAUACCCUUUCCCAACCCUCAUGUACGUAUGUUGACCGAGCCAGAACGAGCUUGGUUACAUGAAGUAACGAUAUUGCUUUAUCCAGUGCUGUAUACAGGUCAGUGGCUCAGACAACUUCGGACUCUCCCGAUGUUCGCCCGAAGAGCAUGUUCUUAUUUAAAACUGUAUUUUUGUUGAUUUUCAAAAUGUUUAGUGAGCAAAGAUUGUUGUGUUACUGUCGUGGUUGGGUCAAACAAUAUGCGGAAAGCAAAAAUAGCGAAGGAAAGACUAAAGAGAUUAAAAUUAUAUUGGAUUUAGUUUCACUACCAAAUAUGGUAGUCCCCCCGUCCAUGACCUUGUGACGUCAGGUACAUACGGGACUUCGGGGGAGUUUUUGGCGGGAAAAUUUGUAAGGUUUGGAGAAGACAAGAUGGCGCUGGUUCCUUCGUGUCGUCAAAGGGCAUUUUUGUUCACAAAUACCCGCUUAUUUUACGUUAUAACGACUGGUUAGUUUUUGAAAUUAUAACUCAAUGGACAGGGAAAACAAUUCUGUAGUAAAGAGAAAAAGACGUGCAGUUAUUGUGAUGUUAUUUGUUGUGAAAGACGGCCCGAAAUUUCGCUACAACGGCUACAUCGCUGAGCGCCCUGAGCCUGUACUGGUUUAUAAAAAAAAUUACAAGCAACAGCAAUUGAACUAUAUGACGAAAAAAACAAAUACCAAUGUGUACAAGCCAAUCAAGUCCGACGUAUGGUCAUUUUUGGAUGUGUGAAAUAAGUUCAGUUGGAUUUGCAGAUGAAGCACAUGGAAG